rnacentral:rRNA from 1 species
UACGAAGGGUGCAAGCGUUAAUCGGAAUUACUGGGCGUACAGGGUGCGUAGGCGGUUGUUUAAGUCUGUCGUGAAAUCCCCGGGCUCAACCUGGGAAUGGCGAUGGAUACUGGGCAGCUAGAGUGUGUCAGAGGAUGGUGGAAUUCCCGGUGUAGCGGUGAAAUGCGUAGAGAUCGGGAGGAACAUCAGUGGCGAAGGCGGCCAUCUGGGACAACACUGACGCUGAAGCACGAAAGCGUGGGGAGCAAACAGG